UACGUAGGGCGCAAGCGUUGUCCGGAAUUAUUGGGCGUAAAGAGCUCGUAGGCGGUUUGUCGCGUCUGCUGUGAAAACCUAAGGCUCAACCUUGGGCUUGCAGUGGGUACGGGCAGACUAGAGUGCGGUAGGGGUGACUGGAAUUCCUGGUGUAGCGGUGGAAUGCGCAGAUAUCAGGAGGAACACCAAUAGCGAAGGCAGCUCGCUGGGACGGUAUUGACGCUAAGGCGCGAAAGCGUGGGAGCAACAGG
rnacentral:rRNA from 1 species